rnacentral:lncRNA from 1 species
GUUCUAUUUUUUUGUUUGUUUUUUGUUUUGUUGUUUUGUUUUUGUUUUUUGCUCCUUCAUCCCAAUAACUUAACCUUUCCUUUUCUCACAAAAUGACUUUUGUCAUGGCAUAGGUUCCAGGACCAAACCAGAGACCUCAAGCAAUGUGGAAUGUGGCUGGAAAGGGAGCCCUGCACUCCCCGUCAUCUCAAAACCGCCUCCCGCAGCUAGUGUCUGGAUGUUGUUGAUGUACUGCAAGGAGAAGCAGA